UACGUAGGGGGCGAGCGUUGUCCGGAUUUAUUGGGCGUAAAGCGCUCGCAGGCGGUUCGUCGCGUCGUGCGUGAAGGCCUUCGGCUCAACCGGAGGUGGUCGUGCGAUACGGGCGAACUGGAGGUAGGUAGGGGGACGCGGAAUUCCCGGUGUAGUGGUGGAAUGCGUAGAGAUCGGAAAGAACACCAACGGCGAAAGCACUCUGCUGGGCCGACACUGACACUGAGAGACGAAAGCUAGGGGAGCGAAUGGG
rnacentral:rRNA from 1 species